GAUGAACGCUGGCGGCGUGCCUAAUACAUGCAAGUCGAGCGAACAGACGAGGAGCUUGCUCCUCUGACGUUAGCGGCGGACGGGUCAGUAACACGUGGAUAACCUACCUAUAAGACUGGGAUAACUUCGUGAAACCGGAGCUAAUACCGGAUAACAUGUUGAACCGCAUGGUUCAACAGUGAAAGACGGUCUUGCUGUCUCUUAUAGAUGGAUCCGCGCCGCAUUAGCUAGUUGGUAAGGUAACGGCUUACCAAGGCAACGAUGCGUAGCCGACCUGAGAGGGUGAUCGGCCACACUGGAACUGAGACACGGUCCAGACUCCUACGGGAGGCAGCAGUAGGGAAUCUUCCGCAAUGGGCGAAAGCCUGACGGAGCAACGCCGCGUGAGUGAAGAAGGUCUUCGGAUCGUAAAACUCUGUUAUUAGGGAAGAACAAAUGUGUAAGUAACUAUGCACGUCUUGACGGUACCUAAUCAGAAAGCCACGGCUAACUACGUG
rnacentral:rRNA from 1 species